GAUCAUCAAGUCUACUUGGAACUUAAAAGGAUCCGGACUAAAAACCAACAGCAUCACAUAAACAAUAUUCUGUAGUUUGGAUUUGAUAUUUGAAUUAAAUGGAAACAGGCAAUAGUAUAAUUACCAAAUAUAACAAUAACUAAAAUUCACAGCAAGUGACAUGGGAAAUUGUUAACUAGGUUAUGAGUGUACUAAAAGGCAGGU
rnacentral:lncRNA from 1 species